CUCUGAGCAUGAACAGAAAGCUGUCUUGGGACUAUUGUGGACUCUUGGCACCCUUCCCAGGAAAGGGGGGGGUGAGAAGCCAAGGGGUUUUCAGCAUGUUCAGAUAUGUUUCAAUCUCUUGUUCUGGCAUGGUUCCCGGACAGAAAGUAAGUUGCAAUGUGGUUCUUUAGCAAGGCCAGAAGACAUGAGAAAGGCCUGAGAAACAAUGGACUGUUCUCUACCUUUGUUACAGCAGAGCGGAAUGUUUCUGAUGCUUAGCUGCUGAGAAAAUGAUUUUGAAAAGUUUUGAGAAGCUUUGAGCCUGCUUUGGUGGGGGGGUGACUUCGGGCCUAGGUGAGGUCACCUGUCCUCACCUUCCUUCAAUCCCACUUUAUCACUACGCUAAGGAGUCUCAAAGCAGCCAACUAUCUCCGUUCCCUUCCUCCCCCACAACGAACACUCUGUGAGGUGAGUGAGGCUGAGAUACUUCAGAGAAAUGUGACUAGCCCAAGGUCACCCAGCAGCUGCAUGUGGAGGAGUGAGGAAGUGAACCCGGUUCACCAGAUUACGAGUCUACUGCUCUUAACCACUACACCACACUGCAGAGGAACAUCUGAGGUCACUGAAAGAGUCAAAAUGGCUUUAGGACUGUUUUCCUGUACUGUUUCAGACAUGUGGUUUAUAUAUUUGUGUAUGUGUUUGCCUGGUGCAUUUAUGAACAUUUGUUUUAUGUCUUAGAUCUUAUAAUCUCAUAACAGAAACUAACUGAAAGUGCAUCCAAGUCGCAAUGCAGACAGAAAAAUGCUGGUUGCCGAUAGAAGCUAAUCUUCUUGCCACACACAACUUUGGAUCCUUGGUCCAAUGUCAAGCUGCUGAUUCAUCCUGUUCCCCUGCUCCCAUUUUGCUCUGCAGUUUAAGAACGAAUUUGAAAGUCUCCCACUUUGCUGCUGGCUGGAGUUAACGGUGAGAAGUCAUGGAAGUAGAUGCUGCAACCAGUACUGAAAGAGUUUUGCUUGGGGAGGUCGCUGCACUACAUGCCAAUUUAUUUUGUUAUGAAAUCUUGUGUUUCUGGCCUAUGUUCCAGAAGACCCAUGGCACUAAGUGGGAAGGAAGCUAUGCAUUAUUUGCCCAAGCAACAACUGCCUCUACCCCUCCCUUUCUCAGAUAUCUUUAAAGGGAGAUGGAGUAUUAUUUUAUCCAGAGUUCUGGAGGGGAGAAGUUGCGUUUGGGUGGUAUCUGUGUGAGCCAGGAUGGAAUGCAGGGCCUCAGAUGGGGAAUCAAGGAGAGACGCCUUCUAAAUUUAAACAGCCUGUUCCCAAAAGUAAUUCUGGUUGUACAGUUACAUAAAGUCCAGUGGCUGACAGAUGAAAAACAGGCACGCUGCUGUAACACUCCCAUCUACGAAACAUGAGCCCCACAUUACUGGGGAUGAACUCCUCCAGUGUUUCAUCUUCAUUUACUGUAAUACAGCUGCUUUCUUCACUCUCAUCCAACCCACGCACCCUCCCAGCAAUGGGGCGGGGGGAGAAUGAGAUUAUGUAUGUUGUUUGUUAUCGUUAAAAAUCUAUUUGGCCCAGAGAAGGAGGAGUGGUGUGUGUGUGAGUGUGUGUGUGUGUGAAAUCAACGUCAGAUAAAAUGUUUCCACAAACCAAAGUAGACCUCAGAAACUGAGAAACUAGCAAGCUGUGUGCAUUCCAUGGCGCCUUAGGGUAGUGAUGUGUGAACAUGUCUUAAUCCUUCUGCUAUUCAUUUUCAUCCUGUGUUUUUUUCAUUCUGCAAUUGGUCUGUUUUGCACAAGAGUUUCUUCCAUUCACUGACACAGAAAUAUACCUUCUUCUCCACCUUUUUUUUUGUUUUGCAAAUAUUGCGGGUACAUGAUAGACCUUCAUAUCUCAGUCAUCAACAGGUACUGUUACAAAUCUAUUGCCUUCUUAGUAUGUUCCCUUUCAAACAUAAUUCAUUUCCAGAGUGGCAGCCCUGUUAAGUCUUUUGCAGGGAAAACAACACAGAUUCUUCUGGCACCUAAAAUACAAAGUGAAACGGCUAAUGGCCCAUCACAAAGCCAUUAGCAACUGCCAUCCUAAUCACAUCUACUCAGAAUUAAAUCCCAUGGAAUUGAAUUGAGCUGACCCCCAGGAAAGUGGGGCUAGGACUGCAGCCUUGCUUACUUGAUUUCAUUGUUCAAUCUAAACCAGGCAUGUCCAAAGUCCGUUUUGGGGGCCUAAUCCAGCCCGCUAUUCGGUUUAAUCUGGCCCCUGUGGCAGUUUUUUUCGUAGGUAAAAUCCUAAAAAAACCUCAACAACUUCAACCCUUAAAAAAGCUCAAGAACCUCAAUCCUAAAAAAAGUAAAAAAAGGUUAACAACUUUGGUUGGCCCAUUGGUCGGCCCUCAUGGCCCUUCACUUCAUCAAAUCUGGCCCUCUUUGAAAAAGUUUGGACACCACUGGCUAAAGUCUGUGCUAUUUUUCUAGAAAAAGAGGUGCCGGAGCUCACAAUGAACUUCUCCCUUGUUCUCUAAGAAUGGCAAUGGACUCCGAGAGGUGGGCUGUGGCUGAAAAAAAGCAUUCAUAAAGAAUAGUUGACAUUUCGUUCAUGCCCUGGAUUGUAGGCAUAUUAAAUAUUUUACAAGCACUCUAAUGUGACUUAUUAAAGUCAUUUUUGUAAUACAGUGGUACCUCGGGUUACGAACUUAAUUCGUUCCGGAGGUCCGUUCUUAACCCGAAACCGUUCUUAACCUGAGGCGUGCUUUCACUAAUGUGGCCUCUUACUGCUGCCGCGCCACCGGCAUGCAAUUUCCAUUCUCAUCCUGGGGCAAAGUUCGCAACCCAGAGCAACUACUUCCGGGUUAGCGGCGUUUGUAACCCGAAGGGUUUGUCACCUGAGGUACUUCAUAAAUGUGUAUUUUAUGUAGGAAAUAGCCAUGUUUGCCUCUGCUGAAACAUAACGCUUGAAUGAACUUAUACUUUAAAUAUUUGUAGUAAAUAUGACUUUAUGUUUGACACCUUGAAACCCUCAGGUUUUAACUGAAGAGGAACAUAGGCAGAGUCAACAGGUUACUCCAUACUCUCCAACAUUUAUCCGAUGAAAACAGUCCUAAGGAAAAGCGGGAUAUUGAAAAACAGGAUAGCUUCUGUAAAUGCGGGACUGUCCCUGGAAAACAGGGACACUUGGAGGGUCUGCAUGUUUGUGUGCAUGUUGUGUACAGCCCUAUUAUGUUAUGUACGCUAUGGCAGACUUGUCAUUGCAGAGGAGAGAGAUCAAGUGAAGCACUUUAUCAGCCAGGAUGAGAGACUGGGCGGAACGCAGACAGAGGACACUGGAAGCAGCAGUGUGCAGAGGAAAAGGGUCCCCAGCCAGAGUGUUGCUGGUGUAGACAGGCAGCAUUUUUCGCAGAAGGGGCUUCGUAGCAUUCCCUGACUGUGGACAGUGUGUAAGUGUAAACACCAGCAAAAACAGCCAUCCCCUUGCUAUGCUCGCAGACGCUGGGCACAGCACAACCUCUGGCCGCAAACCUUUCAUUCGCAGCAACUGCAAAGCAAAAAAGAAGAGUCAGAGUCAUGUCUCAUGGAUCCUUCAUUUGCUUUUGUUUUUCUUUAAUCUCCACACACGGCGUUCUGUUCUGAGCUCUGUUAAGCUCCGGUCAGUGUCAUUGCCUUGGUGUAAGCCAAAACCUUCGGUACAAUUAAAUCUGAUCUACUUUGCUGUAAAGCCAAUGAAUUUUCUUUGGGGUCUUUCUAGUUCUCUUGAACUCCCUGGACUUCUAGGCCCCAUCUGGGCUAUCCAUUUUAAGCAGUAUCGAGUCGCUUUAAACAUCCACAGAUUCCUCCAAAGAAUCCUGGAAACUGUAGUUUGUUAAGGGUGCUGAAAGGAGACUCGUGUCCCCUCAAUUCCCAGAAUAGUUUAACAAUCCAUCCCUCUUUUCAGGAAACUCUGGGAACUGUAUCUGGGAAGUAGAGGGAAUAAGGAGUUUGCUAAGAACUCUCAGCACCCUUAACAAACUACAGUUUCCAGGAUUCUUUGGAAGAAGCCAGGAAUGUUUAUAGUGCCAAAAGAUAGACGUAAUAUAUUACAAGGACAGGAAGAAACAUUACGGACAGAAUAACUGCCACACACAGGAAGAACAAGGAGAGACUUUGAAUGCUUCACCUGUAGCUUUAUAAAUCAUUGAAUGUGUCAAUACGAAUGGAAGUCAUUAAAACUGCAGUUGCGGUAUAAGGGAUUGUUAUUUUGACUGGAGUGUAACUGAAAUUUAUAAGAUUUUGGAACGUGGAAAUAAAGUAAAUCAUCCACCCAUCAAUUCUAGCAUGUGGGGUAGGGUGGAGCACCCAAAUUGUACAAUUUGGCAUCUGAAUGAUUGGUAUUACUAAUUGUAUUAUAAUUUGGCAUUGUUAUAAUGAGGCUGUUAUUGUAAUUGAAAACUUAUAAAAAUUAUUAUCAAAAAAGAGUAC
rnacentral:lncRNA from 1 species